GUGCCAGGGGGGAUCCAGCAGUGCUGGGAUCAGGGAUCUGGCUGUACUGGGAUCAGGGAUGUGGCAGUGCUGGGAUCAGGGAUGUGGUCGUGCUGGGAUCAGGGAGGGAUCCAGCAGUACUGGGAUCAGGGAUGUGGCAGUACUGGGAUCAGGGAUGUGGUCAUGCUGGGAUCAGGGAUGUGGCCGUGCUGGGAUCAGGGAUGUGGCCGUGCUGGGAUCAGGGAUGUGGCUGUACUGGGAUCAGGGAUGUGGCUGUACUGGGAUCAGGGAUGUGGCCGUGCUGGGAUCAGGGAGGGAUCUGGCAGUGCUGGGAUCAGGGAUCUGGCAGUACUGGGAUCAGGCAUGUGGCUGUGCUGGGAUCAGGGAUGUGGCUGUACUGGGAUCAGGGAUCUGGCAGUACUGGGAUCAGGGAUGUGGCAGUGCUGGGAUCACAGGGGGAUCCAGCUGUACUGGGAUCAGGGAUCUGGCAGUACUGGGAUCAGGGAUGUGGCCGUGCUGGGAUCAGGGAUGUGGCCGUGCUGGGAUCAGGGAUGGAUGUGGCAGUGCUGGGAUCAGGGAUGGAUGUGGCUGUACUGGGAUCAGGGAUCUGGCAGUGCUGGGAUCAGGGAUCUGGCAGUGCUGGGAUCAGGGCUGGCUGUGGCUGUGCUGGGAUCAGGGAUCUGGCAGUACUGGGAUCAGGGAUGUGGCAGUGCUGGGAUCAGGGAUCUGGCAGUGCUGGGAUCAGGGCUGUGGCCGUGCUGGGAUCAGGGAUGUGGCUGUACUGGGAUCAGGGAUCUGGCAGUGCUGGGAUCAGGGAUCUGGCAGUGCUGGGAUCAGGGAUGUGGCUGUACUGGGAUCAGGGAUCCAGCUGUACUGGGAUCAGGGAUCCAGCUGUACUGGGAUCAGGGAUGUGGCCGUGCUGGGAUCACAGGGGGAUCUGGCUGUACUGGGAUCAGGGCUGUGGCCGUGCUGGCUCGGGGGGUCCGGCAGUAGGGGAUGGAUCCGGCGAUUGCAGGGAGGGGCACUGGGAUCCUGCGCCGCUCCAGGGAAUGGGAUGGGGCACGGGGGGGUCACACAGACACCCCCAGACCCAGCUGGGGCUGGGGCUCUGCAGGGGUCGGGGAUCCAGCACCGGGAUCUGCCCGGGAAGGGGCUGGUGGUGAUCGGGGACAGGGCAGGGGCUGUGACACCCCCAGGGACAGGGACUGUGACACCCCCAGGGACAGGGCAGGGACUGUGACACCCCCAGGGACAGGGUGGGACUGUGACACCCCCAGGGACAGGGUGAGAGCUAUGACACCCCCAGGGACAGGGUGGGAGCUGUGACACCCCCAGGGACAGGGACUGUGACACCCCCAGGGACAGGGACUGUGACACCCCCAGGGACAGGGCAGGGAC